GGGUCUGUAGCUCAGUCGGUUAGAGCACCGUCUUGAUAAGGCGGGGGUCGUUGGU
rnacentral:tRNA from 1 species